rnacentral:tRNA from 1 species
GGCUAUGUAGCUCAGCUGGUUAGAGCACAGCACUCAUAAUGCUGGGGUCCCCCGUUCAAGUCGGGGCAUAGCCACCA